CUAAGAAGUAGGCGACGGCGAUGCCUCCCAGGCGGCCGAGGGAGCGCGUGUCGAGGCUGGCGGCGCCCGACACCAGGCUGCAGACCACCAGCGGCAGGAUGACCAUGCGCAGCAUGCGCAGCAGCAGCUCCCCGGGGAAGGCCAGCCUCAUGGAUAGACCUAAAGAUCCUUACCUUGUGGCUGGAGCUCCUGGGAAUUGUCACCACAACUGUGUCCACCACCACCUGCCUCAGAGCUCAAUGCAGUCUUGACUUGCAGCUUGUUCACACAUGUGACUCAAGGUACCAGGUGUACUUUGGGCUCCAAGGACAUCCACAUCUGGAGCUAGCUCUGAGCUUCAUGGUGGCCUCUGUGUAAAAUCAAGCCUCUGGAGGGCAAGAGCUGUGUUAUCUGCAAAAAGUCACAUCUGACUGUUAACGUCACAGUGCUGCACAUCUCAGCCAUAAAUGAAGGUAUGAAAGCCAGGUUCUGCUUUGUGAUUUUGUUUCUGGGGAUGGAAAAAAGUGGAAUCCACCCUGCAUUUCCAUGGAUUUAGUACACAGAAUCUGUCUGUCCUACUGAAUAUGUUAGGUGUCAUUAUAUACUACCACAAAGCGCACACACAAUGCACUGUAUGUAACAGAUACUUUUGAAAGAGCAAAGUACAUGAAGUGAAGCAGUGAUUGCUACACCCCUAGGUUUCCCAGAGAAGAAACUUUUUACCUGAGCAAGGUCAACAAAAUGUCUAAAAGAAAUCGUAUUUGAGUUUCUUUGCUAAGGGAGGAAUCAGAUGAAAGAAGAAGAAGGGUUGUUUUCAGCUUCUUGAGUCUCACUCUUGAUUCAUGCCCUCUUGACACAGAUUAGGGCAGCCCUUGGACCAUAUUUCCUACAAAACCUCUUACCAAUUGUAUACAGCAAACACUAGUCAUGCCACCUCUGCUUCCUUCUUUCCUCCUGCUGGUAGGUAUCGCCCUUUUCAUACAACCAGCAAGUUCUUUUGCAGCUUUCAGGAGCUUCCUUGGGUGAGAGAAAUUUUCGUCUGCAGAGAUCUGGUUGCUGUUUAGCCUCUGUUCUUCUGAGACCUAACACAAAUGUGCCUCUGUAGGUUUAGAAAUAGAUCAUCUGCCCAUUUCCUGUGACUGCUUUAAUUUGAAGUAGUUCGAAGACUGACGCAUGAAAGUCACAGUGGGUGGAGAAAGGAGUGAGAUGAAAGGGAAGAGGGCAGGAAGGGUUUGGUUGUAUAUUUUUGUUUUUCAAUUGAAGUUUGAAUAAAGGUGCUCCAAAACAUCUCAGCUGAGAUGUUCUGGGCAGCUUGCAGUGUCCCAAGGGGCCAUAUUACAGAGUGGCCUUGUUUCCUGAAGAGAAGGCAUGAAAAGCAUGUGGGAGAGAGCUUGUUUCCCACAAGGCAAAAUGAAGUCCUCAGAGGAGCUGCAUCACACUGGCUGAGGCAGGAAGGCCUAGAGUACUGCCUCGGUAUGCAGACUUUAGCUUGGCAAGAAGACUUUGUUGGGCCUGGGAUGCCAAGCGAUUUGGACAGACUCCAGCCACAUCACAGAAAUGCUCCCUGCCAGCCUCUGGCAGGAAGAAGAAGUGUGCUGGAGGUACCACCAUCAUGCUCACCUCACCGCUGGCCUACUGCAGGGUCCAGCCACCUGCACGAAGCGACCUGUACCAUCUGACUAAACCUGAUUUUGAGACAUCUGAAAUCACAGAAACAAGUCCCAAGACUAUUCCUCAUAGAGAUUCCUGGCCAGCACCCGAAAUAAGCCAGUCCCAGACAUAAUCCUAUCAUACUGUCACAUCCGGAUUCACCGUCUUUCCAGGCCGUGUAUGUUCUCAUGCCUGACUGAAAAUAUUCUGAGUGUGAAAGAAAAUAGGCCUUUGUGAGCAUAUUUUAUAAUAGCAGAGGCAGGCAGGGAAUUUUGCAAAUACCACUUGUGUGCCCAAACUCCAACAAAACAUAAACUCUGCAGACAGGGAUGGUUGAUCUGGGGUAAAUAUUUAACUUUAUUCUCCAAAGGCACAUGCAGUUUUACCAACAAUUAAAUAAAAAAUAUAGAAUAAUACCCUCCCACACACAUGACCUUGUUUACUGUAAGGCUCCUUUGAGUGGCUUUGGAAACAAAGUUGUAUUGAACCAGGAAUAAAUUUAAAACUGUGUGUGUUGCCUACUUCUUCAAAAUCAGAAUGGUUUCGA